rnacentral:rRNA from 1 species
GUGGGGAAUCUUAGACAAUGGGCGCAAGCCUGAUCUAGCCAUGCCGCGUGAGUGAUGAAGGCCUUAGGGUCGUAAAGCUCUUUCGCUGGGGAAGAUAAUGACGGUACCCAGUAAAGAAACCCCGGCUAACUCCGUGCCAGCAGCCGCGGUAAUACGGAGGGGGUUAGCGUUGUUCGGAAUUACUGGGCGUAAAGCGCGCGUAGGCGGAUUAGAAAGUUGGGGGUGAAAUCCCGGGGCUCAACCCCGGAACUGCCUCCAAAACUACUAGUCUAGAGGUCGAGAGAGGUGAGUGGAAUUCCGAGUGUAGAGGUGAAAUUCGUAGAUAUUCGGAGGAACACCAGUGGCGAAGGCGGCUCACUGGCUCGAUACUGACGCUGAGGUGCGAAAGCGUGGGGAGCAAACAGG